ensembl:lncRNA
CUCAUGCAGCGCUGUUUAGGCGACCACCUGACUGAAUCAGCCCUCGUGUACCUGGAUGAUAUAAUUGUGUACUACUCUAAAGACUUUCAGCUCACCUGACACAUAGAUAUUCAGGGCCCUCAGUCACUACAGUCUCAAACUCCGCCCCGACAAGUGUCAGCUGUUCUAAAAGGAAGUCAAAUUCCUGGGCCAUCAAGUCUGCAGCCAGGGAGUUGCGCCUGACCUAGAGAAGACAGAACCUGUCUAGAACUGGGCCACCCCAGCCACCGUCAAACAGGUGAGAUCAUUCUUGGGCUUUGCUGGCUAUUACAGACGUUUUAUCAGUAGCAGAGGUUGGAGACAGUCUACAGCGGAGACGAGAGCGAGCGGCGCUGCGAAGCAGACCACAGAUGGCGUUGGUCGACCACUAGAUACAGGGGAGACGCACCACGGGAAAUGUGGAGGGGUAGAAGUGAGCUUCACCCCUCCUCCGAGCUAAGUACUGCUUUUAUUCUACUCCCCUCAUCUUAAGCAUUUUAUAAUAUCUUAGCCUACAUGAGCUCGUUGUGUGUUAAAUAAAAAAGGACCAGUGGAGGGGGGUGCUGUUUUCAUCUGCUUCCACAGGGUUUGGCGCCAUGGAGUGCUGCCCCAGAAGGGAACAGGAAGUUGCAGCUGUGCGAAGGGUCGAGCAGCAGAGCAAAGCGUGGCAGCGCGACACACAGCGUGCAACGGCGGAGACGAGAGAUUAUCGGAGCAAAGCGUGGCAGCACGACACACGUUGUGCAACAGUAGCAGAGGUUGGAGACAGUCUACAGCGGAGACGAGAGCGAGCGGAACUGCGAAGCAGACCACAGACGGCGUUGGUCGACCACUAGAUACAGGGGAGACGCACCGCGGGAAACGUGGAGGGGCUGAACACGAUGAGGAGAGCCUACCAACCCAGGUCCAGGCAGCAGUACACACACCCUCAACACAGACCUCAGGAGAGCAGCAGCCGUACCCAGUCUGCACAGAUCAACCCCAGACCCAGGACCUCGCCACCUCCCAGACCUUUUGCACCUCCACCACCACCUCCACAACAGCAGCAGGAACAGACCCAGCCAGCCAGACCGUCCUACGCUGAGGUGGUCAGAAGAGGAGCAGCAGGCCCCGCCCACAGUGAACUGAGAACCUGAGUACUCAGUUCACUAAUGCUGAGUACAUUAUGCUCUCAUCUUAUGGGCCACAUUCGUAGUAAGAAGUAAUGAGCAGGUAGUGGUUAUUUAACAAAAGGUCCACAAACUAAUCUAAACACUGUGUAUACACAUGCUUAUGGUAUGACAAUUUAUAGUCUAUGUCAGGGGUACUCAAAUACAAAUCUUAAAGGGCCACAAAGAUUUUUUUCAAUGACUCAAAGGUCCAUGUGUUGAGGUCGGUCAGGCCACAUGCAAUAAUACUGUAAUAUUCAAAACAAAAUGUCCUUUUCAUUCUAAACAACAAAAUAUGAACUAAAAUAAAAUGUAAUUUCCAUUUGAACAUAAACUAAAAUACAUAGUUGAACAUUUCCUCUUUUUGUUUGCCUUCAAACAUUGUGUCCAUCACUUCAGUCAUGCAUUAUUUUAUUUCAUUGUGACAUAGAUGUGACAAGCAUCCUUCUUGCAGCUUGAUAUGACGAUUUCAGUGCAUUUAUUUGUGUUGUGCUUAUCUCUGAAUUUUGAGGAAAUGUCUCUUCAAAAUUCCUAUGCUUCGUCUCAUAAUGCCGUUUCAAAUUGGAAAUCUUCAUCACAGCUUCUCUUGGCAUAUUGUAACGCCCCUUGUGGACUGUGGUGCAAUGACUCUUGGGUAUUCUGUUGGUGUUGGUGUAAUUAUGGUUCGUGAAUGUGUUUGUGAAUAAGAUGAUAUGUAAGAUGGUUGUGGGUUAAUUCACGUCAUUUGUUCUUUGAUUAAGUGGAGUUGAGUUUUAACAGGGAUGAUAAACAUUUUGGCACCGUGAGUGAAAGGGUGUUUGCCGGGAGAAGCUCCUCGUCCGUUACAA